rnacentral:pre_miRNA from 1 species
UUGUCAACUGGAGUCUCCUCAAACCACUUCAGUAGAUAGCAAGCUAGGCCUCACUGCAUUGCACUAUUACAUAAGACAUGGGGCCAAACACUGUGUAUAGUGAAGUGUUUGGAGGAACUCUGGUUAAGAA